UUCAAACUGCAAACAAGGUCAAUUAAGACUCUUUCUAUUAUGAAUUUUUGAUCCAUGGAGGUUUUAUGUUGAUAAAAGUAUCCUUGAGCCAAGAAAAGCGAUUUAAAAAGCCUAUGUAAAGUCUGUGGGCCGAGCAGGAACUCACCGGUGGGGCGAGCAGGAGAAACACUACUGAGCAUGUUCAGUGGGCCACAUACCUCCUGAAGGAAACGUGGAAGCUAAAACAUUUUUGGCGUAUGCGCCAGGCAAGCAAUUCUUAUUGGACUGAAUGGGCGUCAUCUUUGACACAUUCAGAAUCAUUACUGCUUUUGCUGUUAGCAUUGUCGUUAACAGGCAGCUUGCUUUGUGCAUGUACUUAAAAUUCAUAUUUUAGAGGCUUUUACGGUCUGUAUUUCUCUGUAAUGUAGCACAGUGUUAACAAUAUAACUUAUAACACAUAAUUAAAUUAAUAUGAUGAACGUGCAACGACUAGUCAUCGCACAUUUAUCUAGUCAACUAGUUUAUCUAGUUGACUAGAUAAACUAGGAAAAUCUUCGGUUGGGGGCAGCCCUGGCUUCACUGUGGACUUUAUUCUGCAUUAAACAAAGACCUUGGUGAAGUGAUGCCAAGUGCCCAAGCAUAACCAUAAAAAGGUUUAAUAAUAGUAUCACUACAUUCAGAUAUUGAAUUGCAAGAUCAGAUAUUUUGUCGGGGAAAAAAAAGAAAAGAAAAAGAAAUGUCACCAAACUUUUUAAGCUCAAAUUAUAGUUGCCACAUCCGCUAGGGUCCGCGUGACGUAAAUCUCGUCAUCAGAGGGUGUGCGCAUGGGCUAUGUGCGGACAUCCGUGUACCUGCAAUUUAUUGUGUCCAUGCAGACCUGUCCGCACCAGUCCGCGCGGUCACAACAUUGUGUUCCUGUAGAGGGCGAUCUACUGCGCAUGUGUGGGGCACGUUCUCCGAACGGACCCCAGAAGGUAGUAUAAACACAUCAACUACCCGUCCGUGUCCAUGUGCGUCCGCUCAGGAGUAUAAAUGAAGCAUGACUCAUACAUUCAGUAUCAACAUUUUUGCAACAAUUAUAAUUUGGGCGGCAUUACGUUUCCU